rnacentral:rRNA from 1 species
GAGUUUGAUCAUGGCUCAGAGUGAACGCUGGCGGCAGGCCUAACACAUGCAAGUCGAACGGCAGCACAGCAGUAGCAAUACUGUGGGUGGCGAGUGGCGGACGGGUGAGGAAUACAUGGGAAUCUGCCCUGUCGUGGGGGAUAACGUAGGGAAACUUACGCUAAUACCGCAUACGACCGGAAGGUGAAAGCGGCGGACCGCAAGGCGUCGCGCGACUGGAUGAGCCCAUGUCGGAUUAGCUAGUUGGCGGGGUAAAGGCCCACCAAGGCGACGAUCCGUAGCUGGUCUGAGAGGAUGAUCAGCCACACUGGAACUGAGACACGGUCCAGACUCCUACGGGAGGCAGCAGUGGGGAAUAUUGGACAAUGGGCGCAAGCCUGAUCCAGCCAUGCCGCGUGAGUGAAGAAGGCCUUCGGGUUG